UUGGGGGUGCCGCACCAGCCCUUAGUGGGCUGGUGGGACAGCCCAAAAGGGGCCUAUGCGCAUUGGGAAUAAAAUCAAAGAGAAAAAGAAAAAAAAAGGAGGAGGUGGGAAAGGGAAGAAGGACUCCACCUUCCAAACCAAGUAGGACUCGGUUUAGGAGGGGAGUCCGUCCCCCCUUGGCUCGGCCGACCCCUUGGGGGUUCUUGGACCCCAAGGAAAGGCUCCCCCCUCUCCCUCCUAUAUAUAGUGUGGUUUUAGGGCUGAUUUGAGACAACUUUUGCCACGGCAGACCGACCACAUACCUCCACGGUUUUACCUCUAGAUCGCGUUUCUGCGGAGCUCGGGCGGAGCCCUGCUGCGAUUAGAUCACCACCAACCUCCGGAGUGCCGUCACGCUGCUGGAGAACUCAUCUACCUCUCCAUCUCUCUUGCUGGAUCAAGAAGGCCGAGAUCAUCGUCGAGCUGUACGUGUGCUGAACGUGGAGGUGCCGUCCGUUCGGCACUAGAUCGGAGCGGAUCGUGGGACGGAUCGCGGGACGGUUCAUGGGACGGUUCGCGGGGCGGAUCGAGGGACGUGAGGACGUUCCACUACAUCAACCGCGUUUCUUAACACUUCUGUUGUGCGAUCUACAAGGGUACGUAGAUCGGAAAUCCCCUCUCGUAGAUGACAUCACCAUGAUAGGUCUUCGUGCGCUUAGGAAAUUUUUUGUUUCCCAUGCGACAUUCCCCAACAGUGGCAUCAUGAGCUAGGUUCAUGCGUAGAUGUAUUCUCGAGUAGAACACACAAGUUUUUGUGGGCGGUGAUGUGCGUUUUGCUACCCUCCUUAGUCUUUUCUUGAUUCCGCGGUAUUGUUGGAUUGAAGCGGCUUGGACCGACAUUACUAGUACGCUUACGAGAGACUGGUUUCAUCGCUAUGAGUAACCCCGUUGCUCAAAGAUGACUGGCAAGUGUCAGUUUCUCCAACUUUAGUUGAAUCGUAUUUGACCGAGGAGGUCCUUGGAUGAGGUUAAAUAGCAAUUCAUAUAUCUCCGUUGUGGUGUUUGCGUAAGUAAGAUGCGAUCCUACUAGAUACCCAUGGUCACCACGUAAAACAUGCAACAACAAAAUUAGAGGACGUCUAACUUGUUUUUGCAGGGUAUGCUUGUGAUGUGAUAUGGCCAACGAUGUGAUGUGAUAUAUUGGAUGUAUGAGAUGAUCAUGUUGUAAUAGAUUAUAUCGACUUGCACGUCGAUGGUACGUCAACCGGCAGGAGCCAUAGGGUUGUCUUUAAACUAACGUUUGUGCUUGCGGAUGCGUUUACUAUUUUGCUAGGAUGUAGCUUUAGUAGUAAUAGCAUGAGUAGCACGACAACCCCGAUGGCGACACAUUGAUGGAGAUCAUGAUGAUGGAGAUCAUGGUGUGACGCCGGUGACAAGAAGAUCGUGCCGUUGCUUUGG
rnacentral:lncRNA from 1 species